UAAAAGUCGUAACAAGGUUUCCGUAGGUGAACCUGCGGAAGGAUCAUUAACGCGCAAGGAGGUCGAAGUUGGCCCCCGAAGCUCUUCCGUCUCCCCCCCGGGCCUCC
rnacentral:rRNA from 1 species